rnacentral:lncRNA from 1 species
AAUAAUUUGUUGAAAUAUGAGAGGAAAAAGUAUACUAGACUAAUUGAGAAACUCAAGCUUUGAUUUGUGGUUGAUGCUAAAAGCUUUCAAGUACAUGGGUAUUUAUAGGUAAUAGUACUACUACUGUUACUGCUACUACUACCAAUAAUGUUAUUACUACUGUUACUACUACUCUGUUACUACUGUUGUUAUUAUUACUACUAGUAUAGCUGCUACUACUACUACAACUUCUACUGUUGCUACUGCUACUACUAUUAGUAUUGAUACUAUUGUUGCUGCUACUGUUACUGCUAAUAUUGCUACUGUUGUAAAAGCCUGAAACUUAAAAAAAAUAAAGUCAUGAAUUAAAUGCGAAAGCGAAAUAAUAGAAUUUAGGGUUUAAAUUCCUUACACAAUAAUUUAGAAUGCCCAAUAGGGCUAGGGGAAUGUCACUUCUAAAAGAAAUUAUGAAAAUCAAGGAAAUAAAUAAAAAGCCAAUAACUAAAUAUUCUAGGAUGACCUUCACUAACUUCUGAAGGGAGUCUGAGUGGUGAAUUUAUUCACAAUCCUCUUGUUGAUCGGGAUCUGGGUCUUGGUCCUCUUGGUAAGAAAUACUUAAUGAAAGGGUGAGCUACACUAGCUCAAUAAGAAUAUCACACUACUCACCGAUACAAAAAUUGAAGGUUGGUAAAAAUCAUAAAAACAACCAAUGAAACUCUUGAUUUAAGUAAAUUCAUUUAUCAUAAAAAAAAUCAUUUAUUGCAUAUAUUUACCGUUGCGAGAUUUCUAAAAUUGUCCUAUAGAGACAAUAACUCAAAUAACAUUUCAAUCUCAUUUUUGAGUGAGCAAUAACAACCACUUUUCCUUUUUUAUUUGCCUACUGGUAU